GAUGAACGCUAGCGGCAGGCCUAACACAUGCAAGACGAGGGGCAGCACAGAAACAGCAAUGUUUUGGUGGCGACCGGCGGACGGGUGCGUAACGCGUAUGCAACCUACCUUUAACAGGGGGAUAACGGAGAGAAAUUUCCACUAAUACCCCAUAACAUCGAUCAAGGCAUCUUGAUUGGUUGAAAACUCCGGUGGUUAAAGAUGGGCAUGCGUUGUAUUAGGUAGUUGGUGAGGUAAUGGCUCACCAAGCCUACGAUACAUAGGGGGACUGAGAGGUUAGCCCCCCACACUGGUACUGGGACACGGACCAGACUCCUACGGGAGGCAGCAGUGAGGAAUAUUGGUCAAUGGGGGCAACCCUGAACCAGCCAUGCCGCGUGCAGGAAGACGGCUCUAUGAGUUGUAAGCUGCUUUUAAACAGGGAUAAAGCACAGUAUGUAUACUGUGUUGAAGGUACUGUAAGAAUAGGGAUCGGCUAACUCCGUGCCAGCCGCCGCGGUAA
rnacentral:rRNA from 1 species